rnacentral:tRNA from 1 species
UGCCUGGGGGUCCAGUGGCUAAGACUCUGCACUCCCAGUGCAGGGGACCCAGGUUCGAUCCCUGGCUGGGGAA